GACAACUCGCGGGGAUUGUUUUCCACACCGUGGAAGCUUUGUUCUUUUCGUUUUUUGCAAUAAAUCUUGUUGCUGCUCGCUUUUUGGGUCCACAUUGCUUUUAUGAGCUGUACCACUCACCGUGAAGAUCUGCAGCUUCACUUCAGAGCCUAGCGAGACCACAAGCUCACUGAGAGGAACAAACAACUCCAGACGCGCUGUCUUAAGAGCUAUAACACUCACCGCGAAGGUGUGCAGUUUCACUCCUGAGCUAGUGAGACUACGAAGCCACUGGAACGAAGAAACUCCAACCACGUUUGAACAUCAGAAGGGGCAGACUCCAGACGCUUCAUCUUAAGAGCUGUAACACUCACUGUGAAGGUCUGCAGCUUCACUCCUGAGCCAGCGAGACCACGAACCGAUCUGAACAUCAGAAGGGACAGACUCCAGAUGCCCCACCUUAAGAGCUGUAAUACUCACUGCAAGGGUCUGCAGCUUCAUUCUUGAAGUCAGACCAAGAACCCAGCAAUUCCCAACACACAGGGACCAGCUUCUUUCCUAACUCACUUAGGCUCUUCGUGCUGCUCUGGCAACUAACACCCUUGGCUGCAGGGGCUUGGACACUACCCUUAGUCACUGACAAUUGUGUGAAGGCUGCUGUCGUUAACUUCACUUGAUCACCUUAGGCUCCUGUGAAGUGGUGAGCAAUUCAAACAAAUUCCUGUCGUCAAAUCAUAAUCCUGAUUUUGUUUGGAAGGACAGCGUGCCUGGUUCCAGGAUAUACAUCUUUCCACACCAAUAGACCUUGUUUUCCGAUGUAGCAUUAUUUUUCAUAGUUGGCGAAUAUACAGUUAUGGAUUCAUAACAGCAAGAUGGAGAAAUUGCACUGCAGAGAAAUCUUUAAAAGCAAUUACCUAAUACUGCAGAUUGCUGAACUGUACCCACACCCAAGACUGAGCAUUGGAUCAAUCCAGAAUAUACAUCAGGUGUUCUGCAAUGUCUGCCUAAAACCAUGACUCUGCCUCCUCCAGCUGUUGCUACAUCUCACUAUGGGUUUCCUGUGACAUUUUGAGCAAGUAUGCCUCUGUGACUGGGGUUCUUACACUCCAGAAUGGAUGAGAAGCACCGUAAGUGGCUUUUAAAAUGAAUAUUCCCUGGCCCUUCAGUCGCUCUAUAGGUCAAGAAUCUGAAUUCUCAACCUGUCUAGAAGGUUCUGGUUUUAAUGGUCUGUGGGCUGCACAUUGAGAAACCUGUUCAGCGAGUGCAACAAAGGUUCCACAUGUGAGAAAGGAAGCAUCAGGUCUCUUGAGCCUGUUCUUUAAUCUGUAGGCUGCACCUUCUCUUUAAAUUCUGCUAAUAACACCAUGCGAGAAAACACCCGAGCUUGAAAAGCCCAUGUUCCAACAUAACUGUCCUUCACCACUCUGGAAAAUUAAUGGUUUGUUUCGAUUAUCCCUUUGUUAAACUCCAAAGUCAAAGAGCUCUGAAAGGCAUACGGUUAUUUUAAGUUUCAGGUGAUUUCUGUUGCCAAAUAUUUUAAAAAUUUAAAAUUGCUACGUGACCUCUUAGUAGUACUAUUAGAUUUCCUGACAAUAAAAAUAAGUCUUUUGGUUUCACCAUUUAUAGUUAGUACAGCUAAUAUUAAGUAUAAUUUUAAAAGCCUUUUAUUUUCUCAGAAAGAAAAAAUAAUCAAAAUCUGCUCAGUGUGGUAUUGAAUAAUUAAAAACAAAAGAACAGUAUCUUCACAUUAGUGUUUAAUAUUAAUUGCUUUUUUACCCUUGACACUGGUGCUAAUUAAAUUUUCAUUUUAUUUUCCAUGACUUGUUUAAACAGUUUUUGCAAAUUAUUGCUAAUCAGCCUAAUAAAACUGAAUCACCUAUUAAACAAUUUUGUUUUGAAUUAAAUGGCAUUAAAAUAAUUCUGGCUGCCUUGUGUUAUAAUGUGUUACAAGAAUACCAACCGCUACAGGUAAUAUGCCUUAGCUUUUACACAUGCUUUAAAUAAAUCUACGGAUGUAUUUACCUACAUGCACAA
ensembl:lncRNA novel transcript